rnacentral:lncRNA from 1 species
CAAAUAAAAAUCGUCCCCCCUUUUAAAUCUAAAGGCAAUGCUUGGCCCGAUACUGGCAAGGAUGGCAUGUGAUGACUCGUUGUGCAGAAGUGCUAUGGACUCUGUGUACUUUUCCUGAGCAUCCCUACCAGAGAAGCUGUCUGACACUUCUUUGUCAUGGAUACUGAAGGAGGAGGCCCAGACUGGGAGAAGAGGCAUCCAGACUGUUCUGUGACCCUGUCAUUUGCCGAGUAAUCAGACCUGUGCACAUGGAACUUGGCAGCCUCCGGGAUGACUUUCCUAAUAAAGACGUCUCUCUCCUAGCUGGCCAAACUGGAGCCCCCCACCAGGUACGGCUUC